CAAAUCAUAACUUCAAGGAGGUGCUAUUAUUUACAUUAAUAGAUUAGUUGUGCGAAUCGACUUGAUUUGA
rnacentral:tRNA from 1 species